rnacentral:misc_RNA from 1 species
GCUUAUCGAUGCCUAUUUGGGUGGACUUGUGUCUUAGGUGGACUGUCUACUCCAUUUGGUGAAUUUAUGCCUUAGAUGGCUUUGUUUACGUCCCUUGGGCAAACUUAUGCCUUAGGUAAGUUUUCAACACCACUUGGCAGGCUUGCCAUCACCUUUUUAGGAGGAUUUGUGCCUUAGAUGGCUUAUCAACACCUAUUUGGGUGUACUUAUGCCUUGGAUCGUUUGUGAACGCCUUCAUGGCG